rnacentral:rRNA from 1 species
GACAGAGGGUGCAAACGUUGUUCGGAAUUACUGGGCGUAAAGGGCUCGUAGGCGGCCAACUAAGUCCGACGUGAAAUCCCCAGGCUUAACCUGGGAACUGCGUCGGAUACUGGAUGGCUUGAAUUCGGGAGAGGGAUGCAGAAUUCCAGGUGUAGCGGUGAAAUGCGUAGAUAUCUGGAGGAAUACCGGUGGCGAAGGCGGCAUCCUGGACCGACAUUGACGCUGAUGAGCGAAAGCUAGGGGAGCAAACGGG